rnacentral:tRNA from 1 species
AAGAAGUUAGUUAAAUAAUAACAUUAGUAUGUCAUACUGAAAUCAUUAGUACAUCUAAUACAUCUUU